CUGGCACUUUCACAGGUCCUCCCCCCGGGCAGUGGGGCCAGGAUUUGGUAGCUGGUACUGAAAUUGAAAACCCUUGAUUGUAUCCUUGCCCUGGGACGGUGUCAGUGGCAACUGUCACUCAGUGGGACAGAG
rnacentral:snoRNA from 1 species